AUCACUUCUCGGCCUUUUGGCUAAGAUCAAGUGUAGUAUCGGUUUAAUAUCUGAUACAUCCUCUAUCCAAGGAAAGUAUAUUAAAUGGAUUUUUGGAGCAGGGAGAUGGAAUAGGAGCUUGCUCCGUCCACUCCAUGCAUCGACCCGGUAUUGCAGUACCUCCGGGAAUGGUGCACCAAAA
rfam:Myotis brandtii contig182145, whole genome shotgun sequence.